ensembl:snRNA U6 U6 spliceosomal RNA
GUGCUUACUUCAGCAGCACAUAUAGUAAAAUUGGAAGGAUACAGAGAAGAUUAGCAAGGCCCCUGAACAAGGAUGACAUGUAAAUUCAUGAAGCAUUACAUAUUAAA